rnacentral:tRNA from 1 species
GCCGGGAUGGCGGAACUGGCAGACGCAGCGGACUCAAAAUCCGCCGACCGCAAGGUCAUCGGGGUUCGACCCCCCGUCCCGGCACCA